ensembl:lncRNA
AUAGAUAUCUUGCACUUCUGUGUGCACACCAGUUCCUUGCACAGCAAGCUAGAGAACUCAGACAUCAUUUGUAACAUUAUAAGAGACUGGGACAUCAACAUGAACACAGCAUUUCCAUGCAUCAUUCUGUGGGAUACUGUAAAAUAAAAUAAAGACAUGACUCAGAAGGGAAUUCAAAAAAGGUUACCCCAUUAAAAAAAAAGGAUAAAUUCAUUCUGCCUUAAUUUUAUACUUAGCACCACAACUAUUCAGAUAAAAUGGGAUACAAGUUUUAGUUAAAAAUCAUAAGCACAGCAUCAAUCAGUGAUAAUUUGACCAUCAUUCACAGGCAGGUCUGACUGCAACAUUGGAUGUUCUUUCUUCUCAGUAGAUUAAGCACUAAACUCAGUUUUUAAAAGGAAAACAUUUGCUCCUUUUCACCAAUAAAUGUAUUAAACAGAAAGAAAUUAAAUGUCACUGACAGUCAAACGGACCUCAGAUGUUCUUAAUAUCCCUUAAUAUUCAUAUCCUUUAAUGCCUAAGGAGGGUUUUUUUUGUUUUGUUUUGUUACAAACACUUUCCACAAAACUCACUGUUCUUAAAAUGCUGUGACAAGUCCUUCUUUAGCACUGCAAUUAUUUUAGGAUUCCUUUUUCCUUUGAGUAAAUCAUACAAGGCAUUUGUCCAAGCUUCAUGCUCCAGUUUUUUGUUUUGUUUUGUUUUCCUCUCUUAUAUUUUUGCUUUGUUGUUGUAUUAAAAAUUAAUCAUACUUAGUAUAAUCAUCACAAGCUCAGACUUAGAUUGCAAAGCUAAUGCCAUUUGUGAAUAUGGGUAUCUUUGAAAGAGUUUGAAUAGACGCUUAUAGGCGCUCAGUGAUUUAGAGAAAUGAUCCUUCAAACUGUAAUGACAAGAGUUGGUAUUUAAGUUUGUGCCUUAUUCUAGCCAAAAUAAUCUCUCUUUCACACUAGCCAGCUAUCAGAAGAAAGAUAAAACACGUCUGUGAAAAACAAUCAGAUUACAAAACCAAUAAGAAAUCUUAAAGCUUCUUAAUAAAGUCAUAUUUUAAAGCCAAACCAUGAAAAAUAUAUACAUUUUUUAAAUGUAACAAAUAAUUCCUCUUGACAUUGGAUAACCAUUUUCUUUUUUUGCUACUCUUUUAAAUGGCCUGACAAAGGUGUCAACAAUUUCCUGUUUUCCUUUGAUCUCCAAUAACAGUUUUAGUAGAAUGGAUUAGUAUGAAUAUUGAGCAUUAGGCUCUUGAUUUCUGUCUCAUCUUAUGGAACAGAAAUUAGGUGCAUGAAUACAGAUAAUCACAAGAUACAAACUCAAUUUCUUCAUACUUGUUUAUGAAUACGCUGACAGAAAAUAGUUAUAAAAACUAGUGUAUAAAUAGGCAUGUAGUUACGUCAUAGUGGAUUGGGGAUAGAUGCCCUGGUCCAGGCUGAUGAAGACUACUGAAAAGUCCCUUAGCCCUUUCAUUUCAUGUUUUUGACAUGUGCCACAUUUAAUUUAAAAAGUUUUUGAGAAUGUUCUUGGUGGCUAUGAUCAGAUUAUUCUCCCUCUCUCCUUCCUGACUUCUCUCCCCUUGAUCCAUCUGCACACUAGUGAUCAGUUAGAGGGGAUGUGGCAUAGAAUUUAAGCACCUAUUUGUAGGAGAACGAACUUUAACUAUAGAAUAAAUCCUCAAAUCUGAUGCCUCAUUAACAUAUACAUAUUGAUGGAAUAGAUGUGUUGACGUGAAAAGGGGCAUGCAGUUGCAUUCUCCUGUUAUUAUAGGCGUCUGUAGAUGAUCAAGAGAUAUAUCUAUAAAUACAUCUUGUUUCAAGAAAUAAAUGAAUUUUCCGGUUAGAAAAGAAUUGGAAAAUAAUAUUAUCAGUAUUGUUUCCGGGACCAUUCAUAAAGACUGUAGUUGUCCGCAAAUGCAAAGGACAGCAGAGGCAUGAGUGUCGAGAAGCUGGUGCAACACUUUUGAAACAUAACCCAGAAAAUGUAGUAUUUUAUUAAGGAUUAAAAUCUAUCUGUGUGAUGCUUC